AACGAACGCUGGCGGCGUGCCUAACACAUGCAAGUCGAACGCGAAAGGGGGCAACCCCCGGUAGCGUGGCAGACGGGUGAGUAACACGUGGGUAACCUACCCGGAGGUGGGGGAUAACCCUUCGAAAGGAGGGCUAAUACCGCAUAAUACCGUGGGGACCUCGGUCCUUGCGAUCAAAGCUGGCCUCUGUUUACAAGCUAGCGCCACCGGAUGGGCCCGCGCCCCAUUAGCUAGUUGGUGAGGUAACGGCUCACCAAGGCGACGAUGGGUAGCCGGCCUGAGAGGGCGAUCGGCCACACUGGAACUGCGACACGGUCCAGACUCCUACGGGAGGCAGCAGUGAGGAAUCUUGCGCAAUGGGCGAAAGCCUGACGCAGCGACGCCGCGUGGAGGAUGAAGGUCUUCGGAUUGUAAACUCCUGUCGAGUGGGACGAAUGCCGUGAGGGUGAAUACCCCUUGCGGUUGACGGUACCGCUGGAGGAAGCCCCGGCUAACUCCGUGCCAGCAGCCGCGGUAAUACGGAGGGUGCAAGCGUUGUUCGGAUUUACUGGGCGUAAAGAGCGUGUAGGCGGUUUAGCAAGUCAGAUGUGAAAGCCCCGGGCUCAACCCGGGAAGUGCAUUUGAAACUGCUUCACUAGAGUAUGGGAGAGGAGAUUGGAAUUCCUGGUGUAGAGGUGAAAUUCGUAGAUAUCAGGAGGAACACCCGUGGCGAAGGCGAUUCUCUGGACCAAUACUGACGCUGAGACGCGAAAGCGUGGGGAGCAAACAGGAUUAGAUACCCUGGUAGUCCACGCCGUAAACGAUGAGAACUAGGUGUAGUGGG
rnacentral:rRNA from 1 species